rnacentral:rRNA from 1 species
GUCUAUAUGAAUAUUUAUAUAGUCUAACCUGCUCAUUGACUAAAAAGUUUAAAAGCCGCGGUAUUCUGACCGUGCAAAGGUAGCAUAAUCAUUAGUUCUUUAAUUGGGAACUUGUAUGAAAGGUUGAACAAGAAAAAGACUGUAUCUAUUGUAAAUCUUAAAUUUAACUUUUAAGUGAAAAGGCUUAAAUAACUUAGAGGGACGAUAAGACCCUAUAAAGCUUUAUAAGUAAGUAGAAAUUUAUUAAUUAAUAACUGAAACCUAUAUUUCUAUUAUCUUAUUGUGUUGGGGCGACAUAAAUAUAAAUUAUUUAACUGUUUGAGAAUAAGACAUAAAUUUAUGAAUUGAAAUUAAUUGAUCCUUUUUAAAGAUUCAAGUUUAAGUUACUUUAGGGAUAACAGCGUUAUUUCUUUUGAGAGUUCUUAUCGAGAAAGAAGUUUGCGACCUCGAUGUUGAAUUAAACUAUCUUGAUGGUGUAGCAGCUAAGAGAGAAAGUCUGUUCGACUUUUAAAUGUUUACAUGAUUUGAGUUCAGACCGGCGUAAGCCAGGUCGGUUUCUAUCUUCUAAAUAUAAAAAAUUGCUUUAGUACGAAAGGAUUGAGUAGUUAAAAUAUUUUUGUAAGUUACAG